CGUUUAGGGGUAAACCUGAGAAACCCGAAAUGUCGAAGGGAGGAAUUCAUUCGCGUUUCGUCUACGGCAUUUAAUGGGAUCUUGUGUGACAGAGAAGGACAUAGCGUCUCGUACGUUUGACUUUUUUGCGCCUCCUGUUAAUUGAUCUGCAAACGAACGCGUGCACUUUCCUCUUUGUAGGACGUCGCGAUCCGUUGAUUGUCGGUCUACGACUAGUGGUGGAGACCAUUUGUAUAUAAUUUAUUUUGUAUGCGAAUGAACCCAUUAGACUCUGACCGAUUUAUGCAUUUUAUAUGCUAAUCGACGGUAUAAAUAGAAAAGGUUGUGGGCCGCUAUUAAAAGCGUUCGACUUAUUACAAGCAUAUUAGUUGUUUGGUGAUUGGACCUUGUGCUCAAUCCCGGCAACUAGUUACUGUUGGUAAUAAUGUUCUUGGACAGACCCAUUUUUAACCGAUCUGCGACGCUAUAGCUUUGGGUAGUUUCAGGACCCGUCUUGAAACACGGACCAAGGAGUCUAGCAUUUACGCUAGUCAUUGGGAUAUAAUAAUUAAACCUAAAGGCAAAAUGAAAGUAAAAGUCUUCUUUGAAGACCUAGGGAGGAUGUGCAAAUAUGUAUUUAUAUAUGUUUGUGCCGCACUCCCGGGGCGUCUCAAUCUCAUUGUGAGAUGAGGCGCACCAAGAGCGUACACGCUGGGACCCGAAAGAUGGUGAACUAUGCCUGGUCAGGACGAAGUCAGGGGAAACCCUGAUGGAGGUCCGUAGCGAUUCUGACGUGCAAAUCGAUCGUCGGAACUGGGUAUAGGGGCGAAAGACUAAUCGAACAUC
rnacentral:rRNA from 1 species